rnacentral:lncRNA from 1 species
GCCCGCCCCGGUGGGGGUGCUGACCCCUCUCUGCUUUCUCCCUCUCCUGUCUUUCCUCUCAGUGUAACGUUACCCAUUUUCCUUUUGUAGCCGUUGCCAAACUGAUCUCCAAGGAGGCGAUGUGGAAACAAGUCUGUUCCAAAGCACUCUACCCGUCAUGCUGACGACUUGAUGUCAGAAAGUGCCUUCAUUGUGCCUGGAAGUUGUCAGUUCCUCGUUAGGAUGCUCAAUAAAUUACCCGGCAUGGAUCUUCUGUGUCACUGUUCUACGAUUCCAGGAAAUACAGGACACAAAAUGUACAGUAGAUCAGCAUUCAUCAGUUGGAUUGUAUCUGGAGCUCGUCAACAGAAAUGCAUUUAAAGAAUGCCUAAGCUACAAGGUAAAUAAAGACAGGCCUGAGAAGAAAAAGGUCUUUUGA